GUACUUGCCUCAGCAGCACAUAUAUUAAAAUUGGAAUGAUACAGAGAAGAUUAGCAUAGCCCCUGAGCAAGAAUGACAUGCAAAUUCGUGAGCAUUCCAUAUUUUU
rnacentral:snRNA from 1 species